rnacentral:rRNA from 1 species
UACGGAGGGGGCUAGCGUUGUUCGGAAUUACUGGGCGUAAAGCGCGUGUAGGCGGCAGCGUGUGUCGGGCGUGAAAUCCCAUGGCUCAACCAUGGAAGUGCACCCGAAACUGCGCAGCUAGAGUCCUGGAGAGGAAGGUGGAAUACUUGGUGUAGAGGUGAAAUUCGUAGAUAUCAAGUGGAACACCGGUGGCGAAGGCGGCCUUCUGGACAGUGACUGACGCUGAGACGCGAAAGCGUGGGGAGCAAACAGG